CGCGAGAGCAAGCGGACCUCAUAAAGUGCGUCGUAGUCCGGAUUGGAGUCUGCAACUCGACUCCAUGAAGUCGGAAUCGCUAGUAAUCGUGGAUCAGAAUGCCACGGUGAAUACGUUCCCGGGCCUUGUACACACCGCCCGUCACACCAUGGGAGUGGGUUGCAAAAGAAGUAGGUAGCUUAACCUUCGGGAGGGCGCUUACCACUUUGUGAUUCAUGACUGGGGUGAAGUCGUAACAAGGUAACCGUAGGGGAACCUGCGGUUGGAUCACCUCCUUA
rnacentral:rRNA from 1 species